AACAAACGCUGGCGGCGUGCCUAAUACAUGCAAGUCGAACGGGGAAAGCUUUCGGGUGAGUACUAGUGGCGCACGGGUGAGUAACGCGUGGAUAAUCUGCCUUAGAGUGGGGGAUAACUAGUCGAAAGAUUAGCUAAUACCGCAUAAGACCACAAGAACUGCGGUUCAAGGGGUCAAAGGUUUUUCGCUCUAAGAUGAGCCCGCGUAAGAUUAGCUAGUUGGUGAGGUAACGGCUCACCAAGGCGACGAUCUUUAACUGGUCUGAGAGGAUGAUCAGUCAAAAUGGAACUGAGGCACGGUCCAGACUCCUACGGGAGGCAGCAGUAGGGAAUAUUGCACAAUGGAGGAAACUCUGAUGCAGCGACGCCGCGUGAGUGAUGAAGGCCUUCGGGUCGUAAAGCUCUGUCGCAGGGGAAUAACACAAUGAAUGUACCCUGUAAGAAAGGAUCGGCUAACUUCGUGCCAGCCGCCGCUGUAAUAC
rnacentral:rRNA from 1 species